UACGAAGGGGCUAGCGUUGUUCGGAAUCACUGGGCGUAAAGGGCGCGCAGGCGGCUGCUCAAGUCAGGCGUGAAAGGCCUGGGCUCAACCCGGGAAUUGCGCUUGAGACUGGGCUGGCUUGAGUGCGGGAGAGGAUGGUGGAAUUCCCAGUGUAGAGGUGAAAUUCGUAGAUAUUGGGAAGAACACCGGUGGCGAAAGCGGCUCACUGGACCUCUUCUGACGCUGAGGCACGAAAGCUAGGGUAGCGAACGGG
rnacentral:rRNA from 1 species